GACGAACGCUGGCGGCGUGCUUAACACAUGCAAGUCGAACGAAAAGAGGGAAAGAGCUUGCUCUUUCCGGGAUUGAGUGGCAAACGGGUGAGGAACACGUAAACAACCUGCCUUCAGGAUGGGGACAACAGACGGAAACGACUGCAAAUACUGAAAACGUUCCACAGGCGGCAUGGCCCAUAGAAGAAAAGGUGGCUUCUACAUGGACGCUACCGCCUGAAGUGGGGUUGGCGUCGGUUUAGCUGGUUGGUGGGGUAACGGCCCACCAAGGCGGCGAGCAGUAGCCGGCCUGAUAGGAUGAACGGCCACACUGGGACGGAGACACGCGCCAGACUCCUACGGGAGGCAGCAGUGGGGAAUCUUCCGCAAUGGGCGAAAGCCUGACGGAGCAACGCCGCGUGAGUGAUGACGGCCUUCGGGUUGUAAAACUCUGUGAUCCGGGACGAAAAGGCAGAGUGCGAAGAACAAACUGCAUUGACGGUACCGGAAAAGCAAGCCACGGCUAACUACGUG
rnacentral:rRNA from 1 species